CUGAGCUGAGGGACGACAGAGAGGAAAGCCAUUCAGCUCCAGGGUCCUGACAAAAAGUUGGUUGACCCUGUAGAUGUGAGCAGAACUCUCAAAGUCACAUCACCCAAGAGGAAAACUAGUGUUUCUGCUACUGCUUCAGUGAGCGCAACUAAUCUGAUCAGCAUGGUCCAGGGACAGUUGAGAGUUCUUGGGCAAGAGGGGAAUCUGCUGCUGCAUCG
rnacentral:lncRNA from 10 species